GGCUCAGUGGUCUAGGGGUAUGAUUCGCGCUUCGGGUGCGCGAGGUCCAGGUUCAAUUCCCGGCUGAGCCC
rnacentral:tRNA from 1 species